rnacentral:rRNA from 1 species
UCUACCAAUUUGCUCGCCAGAAAAUUACACGCGAAAGCACAAAAUUCAAAGGACUUGACGGUGUUCCAUAUCAGCCUAGAGGAGCCUGUCCUGUAAUCGACAAUCCACGUUAUACCUCACCCACUUUUGAUACAACAGCCUAUAUACCGCCGUCGUCAGCCCAUCUAAUGAUAGAACCAAAAUGAGCAAAAGUGUAUAUCACCAAAACGUCAGGUCAAGGUGUAGCUAAUAAGUGGGCAUGAGAUGGGCUACAUUUUUUAGACUUAAAAAAUACAGCAAGAAACAUGAAACAUAGACUAUUAAAGGUGGAUUUAGCAGUAAAUAUGUGCAAGAGUGCCAUAUUGAACUUAGCUCUGGAACGCGUACAU